rnacentral:rRNA from 1 species
CACGUAGGGCGCAAGCGUUGUCCGGAAUUAUUGGGCGUAAAGAGCUCGUAGGCGGUCUGUUGCGUCCGCUGUGAAAAACUCGGGGCUUAACCCCGAGCCUGCAGUGGAUACGGGCAGACUAGAGGUAGGUAGGGAGAAUGGAAUUCCCGGUGUAGCGGUGAAAUGCGCAGAUAUCGGGAGGAACACCGGUGGCGAAGGCGGUCUCUGGGCCUACCUGACGCUGAGG